rnacentral:rRNA from 1 species
GACGAACGCUGGCGGCGUGCCUAAUACAUGCAAGUAGAACGCUGAAGCUUGGUGCUUGCACCGAGCGGAUGAGUUGCGAACGGGUGAGUAACGCGUAGGUAACCUGCCUGGUAGCGGGGGAUAACUAUUGGAAACGAUAGCUAAUACCGCAUAAGAGUAGAUGUUGCAUGACAUUUGCUUAAAAGGUGCAAUUGCAUCACUACCAGAUGGACCUGCGUUGUAUUAGCUAGUUGGUGAGGUAACGGCUCACCAAGGCAACGAUACAUAGCCGACCUGAGAGGGUGAUCGGCCACACUGGGACUGGGACACGGCCCAGACUCCUACGGGAGGCAGCAGUAGGGAAUCUUCGGCAAUGGACGGAAGUCUGACCGAGCAACGCCGCGUGAGUGGAAGAAGUUUUCGGAGCGUGAAGCUCUGUUGUAAGAGAAGAACGGGUGUGAGAGUGGAAAGAGCACACUGUGACGGAAUCUUACCAGAAAGAGACGGCUAACUACGU